AGAGUUUGAUCCUGGCUCAGGAUAAACGCUGGCGGCGUGCCUAACACAUGCAAGUCGAACGCUCUUCGCAAGAAGAGAGUGGCGGACGGGUGAGGAACACGUGGAUUACCUGCCCUUUGGUGAGGAAUACCGGCGAGAAAUCGCCGACAAUACCGCAUAUCCUUCGCAAGAAGGAAAGCUCGUAAGAGCGCCAGAGGAUGGGUCUGCGUCUGAUUAGCUAGCUGGUGGGGUAAUGGCUCACCAGGGCGACGAUCAGUAGCUGGUCUGAGAGGACGAUCAGCCACACUGGGACUGAGACACGGCCCAGACUCCUACGGGAGGCAGCAGUGGGGAAUAUUGCGCAAUGGGCGAAAGCCUGACGCAGCGACGCCGCGUGAGCGAUGAAGCCCUUCGGGGUGUAAAGCUCUUUCGACGGGAACGAUAAUGACGGUACCCGGAGAAGAAGCUGCGGCUAACUACGUGCCAGCAGCCGCGGUAAUACGUAGGCAGCAAGCGUUGUUCGGAAUUACUGGGCGUAAAGAGUGUGUAGGCGGUGCUCUAAGUUUGGUGUGAAAUCUCCCGGCUCAACUGGGAGGGUGCGCCGAAAACUGGAAUGCUUGAACAUGGGAGAGGAAAGCGGAAUUCCUGGUGUAGCGGUGAAAUGCGUAGAUAUCAGGAGGAACACCUGCGGUGUAGACGGCUUUCUGGACCAUUGUUGACGCUGAGACACGAAAGCGUGGGUAGCAAACAGGAUUAGAUACCCUGGUAGUCCACGCCCUAAACGAUGCAUACUUGGUGUCGGCCAUUCAGUUGGUCGGUGCCGGAGCUAACGCGUUAAGUAUGCCGCCUGGGGAGUACGUUCGCAAGGAUGAAACUCAAAGGAAUUGACGG
rnacentral:rRNA from 1 species